rnacentral:lncRNA from 1 species
CAGCCUUGCACCUGUUUUUUGCAGCUGCUUUACUUUUAAUUUGCAGAGCAUGAUUCCAUCAGCAAAAGGAGAAUAUCUACUUUAUUUUUUCUGUUGUUUUUUUUUUUUUCUCUUUAGGGAAAAAUGUGCCUCAGAGACUGCUGACCUCAGACCUUGCAGAAACCUGCUUUAUCAGAGCUGUGAUGGCCAGUCAUCAAACAGAAGUUCAGAGUUUGAAGCUAGAUAAUGAUUCAGUUAUAGAAGGAGUAAGUGACCAGCAUCUAAACAGAAAAAUACUUCUAUACUUAUAACAUGUAUGACAGACAACAUCCACCAAAUCUGAUUGAUGGAGACCAAAGGUGCGUAAGAAGAAUAUAGACUUUCUAUCAUGUAACUUUCAUAUGUCACCCACGUUAGUAUUAAAUAUAUUUUCUUUUUACAGAUAGCCAUGUAAAUACUAGCAUGAAAAAUAUGUGACUUGUGUAUUUCUCAUUGAAAAAAGAAUGAAACAGACCAAAUGUUAAACAUUUAGCAAUGCAAUAAACAUUUGAGCAAUAACGCA